GACGAACGCUGGCGGUGGGCCUAACACAUGCAAGUCGAACGGAAAGGCCCUGAUUUUGUGCGGUGAUCGAGUGGCGAACGGGUGAGUAACACGUGAGUAUCCUGCUCUUGACUUUGGGAGAACUUCAGGAAACUGGGGUUAAGAUCGGAUAGGAGACUCUGUUGGAGUGUGGGGGGUGGAAAGUCUCGGCGGUUGGGGAUGGAUGGGCGGCUUAUCAGCUUGCUGGUGGGGUAGGGGCUUACCAAGGCUGUGAAGGGUAGCCGGCAUGGGAGGGUGACCGGCCACAUUGGGACUGCGAUACGGCCCAGUCUCCUACGGGAGGCAGCAGUGGGGAAUAUUGCACAAUGGGCGGAAGCCUGAUGCAGCAACGCCGCGUGCGGGAUGACGGCCUUCGGGUUGUAAACCGCUUUCGCCUGUGACGAAGCGUGAGUGACGGUAAUGGGUAAAGAAGCACCGGCUAACUACGUG
rnacentral:rRNA from 1 species